CUUACAAGACCAAGUGCUUGCGGCAUUUGCGAGUUUUCGCUCACUCAUGUUCGAGGGAAAAUUGCUUGCGUGCAUGGGGAGGAUGGAUGCGUUUGACCUUAAGAAGCACCCAAAAUCCUAAAAUUGUAGAUCGCCUGUCGUCACACGCCAUGCCACGUGUGAAAAUGUCUGUUGUUUAGCUUAGUGAGAGGCAAGUAGGUCGGACUCGGGGGUCAGUUUCAGAGCAAUUGAGGGAAGGGCGUGGGGCCAUGAGACCAUGUGCCUAAUUAGCACCAUUGUCAAAAAUGGACGUUUUCCAAUUCCAGGUAAAACACGAGGCGUUCCCAGUGUGACUUCGAUCACGCAGCCACGGCAGCCAGGUAUAACAACGGGCUUGUGAGGUGCCUCGGACUACAAGUUGCACGGUUUCAACAUCUGCGAAGUAGUUAGUGGUUUGCGCCUGCCAUUCUAGUCUUCACAGAUGUUCAUUGUGGCUUUCCAGGUUACUUGGAUAGGGACUCGGUGAUAUGCCCGCAUGCGGGUUUGGGCAGGGAACAUCACAAGAACUUACAAGACCAAGUGCUUGCGGCAUUUGCGAGUUUUCGCUCACUCAUGUUCGAGGGAAAAUUGCUUGCGUGCAUGGGGAGGAUGGAUGCGUUUGACCUUAAGAAGCACCCAAAAUCCUAAAAUUGUAGAUCGCCUGUCGUCACACGCCAUGCCACGCGUGAAAAUGUCUGUUAUUUAGCUUAGUGAGAGGCAAGUAGGUCGGACUCGGGGGUCAGUUUCAGAGCAAUUGAGGGAAGGGGGUGGGGCCAUGAGACCAUGUGCCUAAUUAGCACCAUUGUCAAAAAUGGACGUUUUCCAAUUCCAGGUAAAACACGAGGCGUUCCCAGUGUGACUUCGAUCACGCAGCCACGGCAGCCAGGUAUAACAACGGGCUUGUGAGGUGCCUCGGACUACAAGUUGCACGGUUUCAACAUCUGCGAAGUAGUUAGUGGUUUGCGCCUGCCAUUCUAGUCUUCACAGAUGUUCAUUGUGGCUUUCCAGGUUACUUGGAUAGGGACUCGGUGAUAUGCCCGCAUGCGGGUUUGGGCAGGGAACAUCACAAGAACUUACAAGACCAAGCGCUUGCGGCAUUUGCGAGUUUUCGCUCACUCAUGUUCGAGGGAAAAUUGCUUGCGUGCAUGGGGAGGAUGGAUGCGUUUGACCUUAAGAAGCACCCAAAAUCCUAAAAUUGUAGAUCGCCUGUCGUCACACGCCAUGCCACGUGUGAAAAUGUCUGUUGUUUAGCUUAGUGAGAGGCAAGUAGGUCGGACUCGGGGGUCAGUUUCAGAGCAAUUGAGGGAAGGGCGUUGGGCCAUGAGACCAUGUGCCUAAUUAGCACCAUUGUCAAAAAUGGACGUUUUCCAAUUCCAGGUAAAACACGAGGCGUUCCCAGUGUGACUUCGAUCACG
rnacentral:lncRNA from 1 species